AUCGAACGCUGGCGGCAGGCUUAACACAUGCAAGUCGAGCGGGGUGAUGGUGCUUGCACUAUCACUUAGCGGCGGACGGGUGAGUAAUGCUUAGGAAUCUGCCUAUUAGUGGGGGACAACAUCUCGAAAGGGAUGCUAAUACCGCAUACGUCCUACGGGAGAAAGCAGGGGAUCACUUGUGACCUUGCGCUAAUAGAUGAGCCUAAGUCGGAUUAGCUAGUUGGUGGGGUAAAGGCCUACAAAGGCGACGAUCUGUAGCGGGUCUGAGAGGAUGAUCCGCCACACUGGGACUGAGACACGGCCCAGACUCCUACGGGAGGCAGCAGUGGGGAAUAUUGGACAAUGGGGGGAACCCUGAUCCAGCCAUGCCGCGUGUGUGAAGAAGGCCUUAUGGUUGUAAAGCACUUUAAGCGAGGAGGAGGCUCUUUUGGUUAAUACCCAAGAUGAGUGGACGUUACUCGCAGAGUAAGCACCGGCUAACUCUGUGCCAGCCGCCGCUGUAA
rnacentral:rRNA from 1 species